AAGAACGAACGCUGGCGGCGCGUCUUAAGCAUGCAAGUCGAACGGCAAGAGGUAGCAAUACCUCCUAGAGUGGCGGACUGGUGAGUAACACGUGGGUGACAUACCCUUCAGAUGGGGAUAGCUAUUAGAAAUAGUAGAUAAUACCGAAUACGAGCACAGGGGUUAGAGAUCUGUGAGGAAAGGAGCUAAGGCUCCGCUGAAGGAAUGGCCUGCGGCCCAUUAGCUAGUUGGUGAGGUAAGAGCCCACCAAGGCGAUGAUGGGUAUCCGGCCUUAGAGGGUGAACGGACACAUUGGGACUGAGAUACGGCCCAGACUCCUACGGGAGGCAGCAGCUAAGAAUAUUCCGCAAUGGACGAAAGUCUGACGGAGCGACGCCGCGUGGAUGAAGAAGGCCGGAAGGUUGUAAAAUCCUUUUGAAACUGAAGAAUAAGCGUUGUAGGGAAUGACAGCGUGGUGACAGUAGGUUUUGAAUAAGCAACGGCUAAUUACGUGCCAGCCGCCGC
rnacentral:rRNA from 1 species